rnacentral:rRNA from 1 species
AUUGAACGCUGGCGGCAGGCCUAACACAUGCAAGUCGAACGGUAGCACAGAGAGCUUGCUCUCGGGUGACGAGUGGCGGACGGGUGAGUAAUGUCUGGGAAACUGCCCGAUGGAGGGGGAUAACUACUGGAAACGGUAGCUAAUACCGCAUAACGUCGCAAGACCAAAGUGGGGGACCUUCGAGCCUCACACCAUCGGAUGUGCCCAGAUGGGAUUAGCUAGUAGGUGGGGUAAUGGCUCACCUAGGCGACGGUCCCUAGCUGGUCUGAGAGGAUGACCAGCCACACUGGAACUGAGACACGGUCCAGACUCCUACGGGAGGCAGCAGUGGGGAAUAUUGCACAAUGGGCGCAAGCCUGAUGCAGCCAUGCCGCGUGUAUGAAGAAGGCCUUCGGGUUGUAAAGUACUUUCAGCGGGGAGGAAGGCGGUGAAGUUAAUAACUUCACCGAUUGACGUUACCCGCAGAAGAAGCACCGGCUAACUCCGUGCCAGCCGCCGCCGUAA